UCUCUCCGAAAUGGCUUUAGGGCCAGCGUCGGGAACUAUCCGCUGGGGGUAGAGCGACGGAAUUCGGCCGGGGGGCUUCCCGCCUACCCGCCGAAACCCAACUCCGAAUACCAGCGGCCGGACCCCGGGAGUCAGAGCGCGGGGGAGAAGCUUCGCGCUCGAGAGGGAAACAACCCAGACCGCCGACCAAGGCCCCCAAGACGACGCUCAGUGGCAAAGGAAGUGGGAUCGCGGUGACAGCCGGGAUGUUGGCUUAGAAGCAGCCACCAUUUCAAAAGUGCGUAACAGCUUACCGGUCGAGCCAUCCUGCGCCGAAAAUGACGGGGACUAAGCGUCGUGCCGCAGUCGCGGACUCAGCAAUGAGUGGUAGGAGAGCGUCGGUGGCAGCGUUGAAGCGGCACGGGUAACGAGCCGUGGAGCGCCACCGAGUGCGCAUGCCGGAACGAGUAACGACAAGACGGGUGGGAAGCCCGUCCGCCGAAAGCACAAGGUUUCCUGGGGAAGGUCAAUCCGCCCAGGGUCAGUCGGGACCUAAGGCGAGGCCCAAGGGCGUAGCCGAUGGACAGGCGGUUAAUAUUCCGCCACCCGCGAGGAAGGUUGAUGGCCGGCGACGCCGGCGCAAAGGGGAUCGGGGCGCUAGUCGCCCCCGUGCCGCAAGGCCGACAGCAUUUUGUCCUGGAAGUCCCCCGCGCGUCCGGCCACGAAAAACCCGGUCCGGACGACUUCGCGGCCCGUACCGCAAUCCGACACAGGUGUGCUAGGCGAGCAUCCGAAGGCGUUCGGGAGAACCCUCGUGAAGGAACUCGGCAAAAUGACCCCGUACCCUCGGUACAAGGGGUGCUCCCCGCAAGGGGAGCCGCAGAGAAUCGGCUCUAGCGACUGUUUAUCAAAAACACAGGACUCUGCCAACUCGCAAGAGGACGUAUAGAGUCUGACGCCUGCUCGGUGUCGGUAGGUUAAGGAAGGCGAUCAGCGCAAGCGAAGUUGCCGACCGAAGCCCCGAUAAACGGCGGCCGUAACUAUGACGGUCCUAAGGUAGCGAAGUUCCUUGUCGGGUAAGUUCCGACCUGCAUGAAUGGCGUAACGACUGGAGCGCUGUCUCCACGAGGGACCCGGUGAAACUGUAGCCGUGGUGAAGAUGCCACGUACCCGCGGUCAGACGGAAAGACCCCGUGAACCUUUACUGCAGGUUGGCACUGGGCGAGCGUUGUCUCUGUGUAGGAUAGCUGGGAGGCUGUGAAGCCCGGGCGCUAGCCCGGGUCGAGCCAACGGUGAAAUACCAGCCUGAGAUUGCGUUCGUCCUCACCGGUGUUCCAACACCGGGACCGUGCUCAUCGGGCAGUUUGACUGGGGCGGUCUCCUCCCAAACGGUAACGGAGGAGCGCCAUGGUGCCCUCGGCCCGGUCGGCAAUCGGGCAACACGAGCGCAAACGUAUAAGGGCGCCUGACUGCGAGACGGAUGUGUCGAGCAGGGACGAAAGUCGGCGUUAGUGAUCCGGCGGUGCUGGAUGGAAAGGCCGUCGCUCAACAGAUAAAAGGUACUCCGGGGAUAACAGGCUUAUCUCCUCUGAGCGUUCAUAGCGGCGAGGAGGUUUGGCACCUCGAUGUCGGCUCAUCGCAUCCUGGGGCUGGAGAAGGUCCCAAGGGUUUGGCUGUUCGCCAAUGAAAGCGGUACGCGAGCUGGGUUCAGACCGUCGUGAGACAGGUCGGUCCCUAUCUGCCGUGGGCGUAGGAAACUUGAGGAGAGUCUCCCCUAGUACGAGAGGAUUGGGGAGGACCGACCUCUGGUGUGCCGGCUGUCCCGCUCGGGGCAUCGCCGGGUAGCCAGGUCGGGACAGGAUAAGCGCUGAAGGCAUCUAAGCGCGAAGCCCCCUCCAAGACAAGGCUUCCAGACGUAAGUCGAAGGCUCCUGGAAGACGACCAGGUCGAUGGGCCGGAAGUGUACGGCGAGCGAUCGCCGCAGCGGACCGGUCCCAACAGCCGAGCGGCUUGACC
rnacentral:rRNA from 1 species